CCACUUUGCUGUCAACUCCAGGAAUGAUGC
rnacentral:piRNA from 1 species